CCUACGGGGGGCAGCAGUGGGGAAUAUUGCGCAAUGGGCGAAAGCCUGACGCAGCGACGCCGCGUGAGGGAUGAAGGUCUUCGGAUCGUAAACCUCUGUCAGCAGGGAAGAACGGUCACUGUGCUAAUCAGCAGUGAAUUGACGGUACCUGCAAAGGAAGCACCGGCUAACUCCGUGCCAGCAGCCGCUGUAAUACGGAGGGUGCGAGAGUUAAUCGGAAUUACUGGGCGUAAAGCGCUCGUAGGCGGUAUGUCAAGUCAAGGGUGAAAUCCCCGCGCUCAACGUGGGAACUGCCUUGGAAACUGGCAGACUGGAGUGUGUGAGAGGAUAGUGGAAUUCCAGGUGUAGCGGUGAAAUCCGUAGAUAUCUGGAGGAACAUCAGUGGCGAAGGCGACUAUCUGGCACAUAACUGACGCUGAGGAGCGAAAGCGUGGGUAGCAAACAGGAUUAGAUACCCUUGUAGUC
rnacentral:rRNA from 1 species